GCACUGGCUGGAAGCGAUUGACUCGCGGCACCGGUACGGCCACAACCUUCACUGCUACUACGACUGCUGGCUCCACUUCGAAAGCAAGCAACCUUUCUUCUACUGCUAAUUCUGAGAUUGGCCAUCUGAUUUCUGAGAUGAGCUCCCAUGUUCAUAAUAUUUGCGCUGUGCUAAAUGAGGCCGCACUUGAAGAAAUCUUAUAUCAGUUUGAGGAAAAACUCCAAGCUGAAAGAGAGGAAGCUGCUAGGAAGCAGGAAGAGUUGCAAGCACAACUACAAGCUCAACAGGCCGCACUUGAAGAAAACCAAAGUUUG
rnacentral:misc_RNA from 1 species